UGAGGUAUGGCGUGCUGAGGAAGGCUCCAGCUGUGAGCGCCUUGAGGCUGUUGCCCCGCAGGUUCAGCUGCUUGGUGAGCUGCGGGUCAUGCAAAGCGCUGUGUUACCGCGGGGCUGUAGCCCUCUCCGGCCCGUCCCCCCCUCCCGGCUCCUCACCCACCUCGGGGAUGGUGUCGGGUACGGCUGUGAGGUUCCGGUUGAGGCACAGGACGUGUGCACGGAGGUUGUCACAGACGCAGACUGCAGGGCAGGGGGCUGCAGCCGUCCCUCCCGGUGCCAGGGCCAGCGUCAGCGCCAGCAGGAGCAGCCCCAUGGUGGGGGCACCUGCGGCCGGGGAGAGGCAGCGGUGAGGGAUAGCAGCAACGCUUUUCUCACCCCAAACAGUAUCUGCUGGGGCCGGGCACUGGGUGGGAACUGUUGGGACAGCCGCUUGUUCCAGCACACAGGAGGCACUGGAUUUGAGAUGCCGUCCUGAGCUGCCACGCUGCUCCCAGAGCUCCUCCAGUCACGCUGUGGAAUAAAGCGAUAUCCCCAGUAUUGCCUAAGUCAGCGGAGUUCCAGAACCACAGAGUUGCUGAAAAAUCAUGUGUGUUGUACGUAGCUCGCUCUGAAAGUAAGGCCUCCUAUUUAUUUCCAUGGAAACUACAACAGAUACAAAGAGCACAAUAACUCCAUCUGACAGAGGAAAUUCUCAGCUACAGAACACUUUUUCAGCAUAAGCACCAUCAUUAGCUAUGCAUUUUCACCAGUGAUAAACAAGAGCCUACAUGCCAUGCCCAUGAAAACCUGCACCAGUGGAGAUGAUCCACUGCUUCACAAGUGCUAUGACAGCAUCGCUGCAAUGAAAAUGAAACGAAAAAGAAAACGUUGCCCGCAGAGUCCGUCGCUCAUCAGCCCUAACAGAUGGAAGUCAGAAGGUUCCAGAAGUGGACUACAGGGUGGGUGUGGUAGCACGGUCCAGCCAAGACUGGCAAUGUGUUUUAUGGUCUUCAAAGUGGUAAGGGUCCUGGUGUUAUCGUACUGCGAAUAAAGGUUGCCUUCUU
rnacentral:lncRNA from 1 species